CGCUGGCUCACCCUGGCGCAGGGUCUCCGACA
rnacentral:scRNA from 1 species